rnacentral:rRNA from 1 species
AGUGAACGCUGGCGGUAGGCCUAACACAUGCAAGUCGAACGGCAGCACAGAGGAGCUUGCUCCUUGGGUGGCGAGUGGCGGACGGGUGAGGAAUACAUCGGGAUCUACUCUGUCGUGGGGGAUAACGUAGGGAAACUUACGCUAAUACCGCAUACGACCUACGGGUGAAAGCAGGGGAUCUUCGGACCUUGCGCGAUUGAAUGAGCCGAUGUCGGAUUAGCUAGUUGGCGGGGUAAAGGCCCACCAAGGCGACGAUCCGUAGCUGGUCUGAGAGGAUGAUCAGCCACACUGGAACUGAGACACGGUCCAGACUCCUACGGGAGGCAGCAGUGGGGAAUAUUGGACAAUGGGCGCAAGCCUGGUCCGGCCAUACCGCGUGGGUGAAGAAGGCCUUCGGGUUGUAAAGCCCUUUUGUUGGGAAAGAAAUCCAUCUGGUUAAUACCCGGGUGGGAUGACGGUACCCAAAGAAUAAGCACCGGCUAACUUCGUGCCAGCAGCCGCCGUAA